UGGGGAAUAUUGGACAAUGGGCGCAAGCCUGAUCCAGCCAUGCCGCGUGAGUGAUGAAGGCCCUAGGGUUGUAAAGCUCUUUCGCCGGUGAAGAUAAUGACGGUAACCGGAGAAGAAGCCCCGGCUAACUUCGUGCCAGCAGCCGCGGUAAUACGAAGGGGGCUAGCGUUGUUCGGAAUUACUGGGCGUAACGCGCACGUAGGCGGAUCGAUCAGUUAGGGGUGAAAUCCCGGGGCUCAACCCCGGAACUGCCUCUAAUACUGUCUAGCUGGAGUUCGAGAGAGGUGAGUGGCAUUCCGAGUGUAGAGGUGAAAUUCGUAGAUAUUCGGAGGAACACCAGUGGCGAAGGCGGCUCACUGGCUCGAUACUGACGCUGAGGUGCGAAAGCGUGGGGAGCAAACA
rnacentral:rRNA from 1 species